rnacentral:rRNA from 1 species
GUUUGAUCCUGGCUCAGGACGAACGCUGGCGGCGUGCUUAACACAUGCAAGUCGAACGGUGAUGUCAGAGCUUGCUCUGGCGGAUCAGUGGCGAACGGGUGAGUAACACGUGAGUAACCUGCCCCCGACUCUGGGAUAACUGCUAGAAAUGGUAGCUAAUACCGGAUAUGACGAUUGGCCGCAUGGCCUGGUCGUGGAAAGAAUUUCGGUUGGGGAUGGACUCGCGGCCUAUCAGGUUGUUGGUGAGGUAAUGGCUCACCAAGCCUACGACGGGUAGCCGGCCUGAGAGGGUGACCGGCCACACUGGGACUGAGACACGGCCCAGACUCCUACGGGAGGCAGCAGUGGGGAAUAUUGCACAAUGGGCGAAAGCCUGAUGCAGCAACGCCGCGUGAGGGAUGACGGCCUUCGGGUUGUAAACCUCUUUUAGUAGGGAAGAAGCGAAAG